CUCACCCUCUCAACUCCCUCUGCCUCACGCUCGGCGAACAGCACGAAUGGCGAACGAUCGUGGGUAUUGAGCAACCAAUGGGGGCUGGAAAUGGGCAAAUGACGCAAAUGAUAGGGGCUUGGGGGUCUUGGGUGGCUCGGUCUCGCGCAGGGGUCGUGGGUGGCUCAGUCUCGCAGAGGGGUCGUGGGUGGUGGUGUAGGUAGCGGCGCGACAAUGUGGCUGGGCUCUUUGUCCUCUCGUUCAUUUCUUCAGACAUAUCCGAGUUCCACAGCUCCGAAGGUCCUCAAUCUCCCCAUCGUCGACUUCUACAGUUCCAAAGCUCCUAAUGUUUGUUAAGUUUCAUUUUUAUUUUUAUUCAGUUUUUCAAUUUUUACAAUGCUUUUGUAGAAACUCUAUGGCCUCAACUAAACCCAAAACAUAUAAAUGGAGCACCAUCAAUGCCUUUUAUGCUUGAGAAGAGGAAGAAGAACUUGAAAUGCUUCUGGAAAACUAUCUCCAAAGUUGGUAGGAGUGAAACAAGAAGGGAAAGAUCUUGAAGAGUUUGUAGGGGAUGAGGGCAUUGGAGGGUCACCAAAAAAAUCAACCCCUCAUAUGUUAUGCAAAACUCUUACAGCUUAUGAUACCAGUUCGCAUGGAGGAUUCUCUGUUCGUCGGAGAGCUGCAGAUGACUGUUUUCCUCCACUGGAUUAUAAAUAGAGGAGACCCUCCCAAGAGCUUGUUGCGAAGGACCUGCACGGGGUAGAGUGGAGAUUUCGACAUAUUUAUAGAGCCAAGGAGACAUCUACUGACUACAGGAUGGAGUAUUUUUGUAAACCAAAAGAAUCUAGUUUCAGGGGAUGCAAUGCUCUUUCUGAGGGUUGCAAAGGGCUCUAUCAUUGGGAAAGGUAUAACAAAAAAAAAAUGUCAUGAUGCUGCCAUAGUUGAUUAUUCCUAUGUUUAAAGUGGACAAAAAGUGUUCAUUCAAAGAAAGAGAUUGAGAGAAAGGUUGCUAGUCAUUGAAAAAUUUAGUCAAUUGAGUUGUAUAUGCUCUUUUUUAUUGUACUUGUUGACGCCGUUUUUCAUCAACUUAAAAUGUAGAGCAAUUAAACAAUAAGAACUAUGGCACAGAUGAACAAUACAGU